rnacentral:lncRNA from 1 species
GGGGACACCGGGAAUGAGCAGGGAAGUUGGGGAGUCCAGCACCGGGACAGGACCCACUGAGCACAACUGCCACCCAACCUGUCCCAGAGCACGAGCAGAUACCUACAUGCAUCUCCUGCCUGCACACUCCACUUCUGUCCCACCCUGCUCAGGAGCUGCUGCAUUCCAGGGGAGGGAUGCAAGAGAGCAGAGCACUGCCAGAGCCUCGAGCACCACAUCCAGCCCUGCAUCCCAGAACCUCACUCCUUCAACCAGGAGCGGCCAGAGGAGACGAGCGGUGGGACACACAUCCUCCUCAUCCAGCAGUGCAGUGGGCAGCUCGCAAAAGUCAUGUCUUAUAUUAACAUGCCUUCCUUUCCUUCUGUGAGCCGGUUGCAGACUCCUCUACUUCAUUCUUUCUUUGAAUCUUAUCAAGAAUUUGUCCUGAAUCCUUACUCCCAGGAAUGAGUGCCAAAAAUUCACUUUGUUGCUUGGUUGUGACUGAUCACAAAUCACAUUAAAUCUGCCUGUGCCCCUACUGGGUAUGUUGGCUGGUUCCUGAUCUGUGUUAUGCUGUUACUGCUCUGAGAGGAAUAGGAGUGCAGCCACUGCAUGCAGGGGUGCAGGCUGAGGGGGCUGCAGUCUGGGGCACCACACAGUGCCAAUAUCUAUGACUCUGAUGUGGAAAGGACUGUGAAUGUUUGAGCCAUUCUCCGUUUCUUUCCUCUGAGUAAUCAAUUCACGACUUUCUCCUGCAUUGCGCCCAUACCCACACAACCUUCUGAACAAUCUGGGAAAGCAAUUAAAUGUAGUGAAAAACAGUGUGCACAAAGCAGUGGACGUGUGCAUAGGGACUUGCAUCGGUGAAGCUUGCUGAGCAAAGCCACAGAGCCAAAAAUAAGGAACAGAAAAUGAAAGAGAACUGGCAUUGCACCUUACUGUGGCCCCCAUAUGCAGGUCACUAUCUUAGCAAGAAAUAUGUAUCUCCUUUUUCUUAUGCUCUUCUGUAUUAUUAUUCUAGGGAGCUUAUAAAUGUCCAAAUAGUGGAUUUUCUGCCGUGGCAGCAGUGUGGCUGUAUCCUGGUUUGACACAACUAGCAUGGAUAUGGAAGCCCUUGCCUAGAUCCACCUGUAAAGGCUCCUUGCUAGAUCUCCCACCACCAUCACUGCAGUCUCUAGGACUACAGGACCCAGAGAAAGGUGUCUGUGUGCUCAGGAGCUCAUCUCAUUUUCCCAGCUCUAUCAGCCAGCUAAAACAUUUCUCUCUGCCAUGCCAGUUUGCAGCAGCUGCUGGGUGGCAGGUCUGGGAGCAGAGCUUGGACGCAGUGGCUGCUGUCACCCACAGUCCCAGGGCUCUUGGAUUUGCUGUGCUUCCCGCAAGAGGUCUGGCAGAAAAUUGGUUUAAAAUAAAAUAACACAUCCUUUCUCA